rnacentral:lncRNA from 10 species
UUUUCUAAGAUUUAAAAGAAAGAUGGGGCAAAUGUGUAUGGGGAAUAGUGUCAUGAGAUGGAGUGGAAGAGCGGGUAGGUUACAGGUCAAGUAGGACCUGGUAGGUCAUGGUGAGAAGUUGAAAACUUAUUUUAAAUGCUAUGGGAAACUAUACAAAAUUUCCAAGAGAGUUAGUAACACAAGCUUGUUUUUCAAAAAUCACGCUGGCUGUUUUUGUAGUGCAUGGAUUGAAAGAGAUGGGCAAAUUCAAGUACAUGGCUGCUAAAUAUGUUCUCCAUGAUUUUCUUCAGGAAAAUAUUCAAGGGUCCCCAGGGAGCACAGUAGAAGGAUGAAACUGAGAGGAAGAAUCUAUUCCUACAUCUACUGUACUAAUUCAUGAACAUUCUCUGGUGUCAAAAGAUUGACAAGAUGGAGCGAUACUCAAGAGCCCAAAUUCACAGGGUAAGACCAGCAGUGAUGUCACCAC